UAAAUAGUAAAUGCACAUUCGCUCAAUGGCCAAUAUAAUCAACAGGUUUCAUGCACAGAUGCUAUCUGCCGAAUGUUGGUCUAGUUGACAGAGAUCAUGGACACGAGCUCUACAAUAAGUGAAGAAAGAAGGCAGGCUGUACAGAAAUUUUGUAGAAUGUACAUUCUGUUUAUGACGACAAUGUCCGGAACUCCUUAGGACCGGUGGAGGUGACCCAAAUUGAGGAGAUGGCACGUGUAAAUAACACAGAAAGGAGGGACCUCCAGCUAAUGUAUGAGUGGAGGACGUUCCCAAGGGGUGAAGUCGCAAAGUCCCCAAACACCUAAAUUGGGAACUUCUAAAACAUAAUUUGCAUUCGACCAGCGGAUGACUUUAAUGAAUUUAAUUUUCUUUGAAAUUUUAUAAAUGAUGAUAAAUUGUAUUCACCAUC